CCUACGGGUGACAGCAGUGAGGAAUAUUGGUCAAUGGGCGCGAGCCUGAACCAGCCACGUAGCGUGAAGGAUGACUGCCCUACGGGUUGUAAACUUCUUUUAUAAAGGAAUAAAGUGAGGUACGUGUGCCUUUUUGUAUGUACUUUAUGAAUCAGGCUCGGCUAACUCCGUGCCAGCAGCCGCGGUAAUACGGAGGAUCCGAGCGUUAUCCGGAUUUAUUGGGUUUAAAGGGAGCGUAGAUGGGUUGUUAAGUCAGUUGUGAAAGUUUGCGGCUCAACCGUAAAAUUGCAAUUGAUACUGGCAGGCUUGAGUACAGGUGAGGUAGGCGGAAUGCGUGGUGUAGCGGUGAAAUGCUUAGAUAUCACGAAGAACUCCGAUUGCGAAGGCAGCUUACUAAACUGCCACUGACAUUGAUGCUCGAAAGUGUGGGUAGCAAACAGGAUUAGAUACCCUAGUAGUC
rnacentral:rRNA from 1 species